CCCUAUAGCUCAGAUGGUAAAGAAUCUGCCUGUAAUGCAGGAGACCCAGGUGCGAUCCCUGGGUUGGGGA
rnacentral:tRNA from 1 species